AGCGAACGCUGGCGGCAGGCUUAACACAUGCAAGUCGAACGGGCUUCUUCGGAAGUCAGUGGCAGACGGGUGAGUAACACGUGGGAACGUGCCCUUCGGUUCGGAAUAACUCAGGGAAACUUGAGCUAAUACCGGAUACGCCCUUUUGGGGAAAGGUUUACUGCCGAAGGAUCGGCCCGCGUCUGAUUAGCUUGUUGGUGGGGUAACGGCCUACCAAGGCGACGAUCAGUAGCUGGUCCGAGAGGAUGAUCAGCCACACUGGGACUGAGACACGGCCCAGACUCCUACGGGAGGCAGCAGUGGGGAAUAUUGGACAAUGGGCGCAAGCCUGAUCCAGCCAUGCCGCGUGAGUGAUGAAGGCCUUAGGGUUGUAAAGCUCUUUUGUCCGGGACGAUAAUGACGGUACCGGAAGAAUAAGCCCCGGCUAACUUCGUG
rnacentral:rRNA from 1 species